UACGGAGGGGGCUAGCGUUGUUCGGAAUUACUGGGCGUAAAGCGUGCGCAGGCGGUUAUGCAAGACAGAUGUGAAAUCCCCGGGCUUAACCUGGGAACCGCAUUUGUGACUGCAUAGCUGGAGUACGGCAGAGGGGGAUGGAAUUCCGCGUGUAGCAGUGAAAUGCGUAGAUAUGCGGAGGAACACCGAUGGCGAAGGCAGUCCCCUGGGCCUGUACUGACGCUCAUGCACGAAAGCGUGGGGAGCAAACAGG
rnacentral:rRNA from 1 species